UACAGAGACCUCAAGCGUUAUCCGGAAUCAUUGGGCGUAAAGCGUACCGAUAGGUGGUUACGAAAGUCAGAUGUGAAAUCUCCGAGCUCAACUCGGAAUCCGUCAUUUGAAACUUCUUGACUAGAGGGGCAAAGAGGAAGCUGGAACGAACGGUGUAGUAGUGAAAUGCGUUGAUAUCGUUCGGAACACCAAUAGCGAAGGCAGGCUUCUGGGUGCCACCUGACACUGCUAGGACGAAAGCGUGGGGAGCGAAUGGG
rnacentral:rRNA from 1 species